GGCUGGUCCAGGGGCCGCCCCAGCCCGGAAGGCGCUGGCCUGGGCCUCAACCUCCUCCCCUGGAUCUGCCCGGAGAGAGUUAACUCAGAGAUCGUGGCUUUUGAUGCGUCCCUGGCGGCCCACCGUGGAAGCCGUGGAAGGAGUGGCAGAAGGACUCUGAAAUUGACCAAAGGCUGAUAACUUUAGUAUUAAAUGAAGAAGUAUUAGGAAGAAGACGCAGGGUCUCCAAAACGAUCUUAUUGUACUUCCCUAACAAACACACCAAAAAGCCUUUUUAAGCCUUCAGCUGGGAGAGGCUCUGAGAUGAAUCCUGGGAACUGAUUGAAAAGUAGUAGUUGGUACUGAGGCUUUUAUUUUAAAGAAGAAAGAUAGGAAGCCUUACCUUGCUGGCUGUGUUUAUAAAAUCGAGGGCUGCCCCCCCCCCCCCCCCCCCGCAAUAUUUAGAAACACCUGGGGCUGGAAGCCUCUGAUAGCUUUCCUAAACUGAAGCAGCUGCUUACCCUGUUCUCCUCACUCUGACAGUCGUUGAAAAAUGUUUUUCAGAGGUGGAGGCGUUUGAAAAUUUAGAAGUCAAGGUGGGAGUAAAACCUUUUCUAGAAUAGCAAUUGGAAAAUCACAGAUAUGUCUCUAAAGAAGUUUUAUGGCCAACCAGCAUAUGGCUUUGAUGUUCACUCAACCAGAGACAGCUUCCAGUAUCUCUCCAGCUUGGGGAAGGAGCCAAUCCUGAUGAUUGCCAUCGUGCGGGAUAUUGUCCCAUACAUACAUAGUAAUUACCAUGGGUUUUUAUGGGUUCCACUGACAUAAGAAAUAAAAUUGUGGUUCUAAAAACCAUAUGAGAAUGAUUUAAAAUUAGAAAUCGUCCCAGCUUGGGACCUUCGGUUCUCCAACUUGAGAGUUAAGGGUUUGUUAAAACAGAUUACUAGGCCCAAACCCAGUGGUGUUCUAAUUCCGUAGAUCUGGGGUGAAGCCAGAUAAUUUGCAUUUCAAACAAGUUGCUGUGGGUCUAAGAGCACCGUGGUUUGGAUCCAGUGCUUGCUUCUCAAACUUAAAAGUCCUUAUGAAUCAUCUAGGAUCUUGUAAAAGUGGCGGUUCUGAUUAAGUAUAUGUGAGGUGGGGCCUGAGUUUCAGAAUUUCAAAUAAGUUCCCAGGUGAUGUGAAUGCCCUGAGGGGACCACACUUUGGUUAGCAAGGGUUAAGAUUAGAAUUCGGAAGUUCCCACAUUUGCUUUGCAUCUGACUCAGCAGAUGUUCCGGAGUGAAUGUUUGUGUCCCCCCAAACUUUGUACGUUUAAAUCCUAACUCCCGGUGUGAUGCUGUUAGAAGGUGGGCCUUCCAGAGGUGCUUGUCAUGAAGGUGGAGCUCUCGUGAAUGGGCUUAGUGCCCUUAGACAAGAGAUUUCAGAAACGUCCCUCACGCCUUCCGCCAUGUGAGGACACAGCAAGAAGACAGCGGCCUAUGAACCAGAAUGGCCUGCUUGGAAAGCCACGCUGGGACGCUCUCUCGCACGUUCAUUACGCCUUCUGUACUUGGAACAUCCUUUGAGAAGAUGUGAAUAUUACACGUCUUGGAUUCCCAUGUCUUAAUGGGAAUAUCUUCACGGUCUGAUGGAGACUUUUACAUAGAAUGAAAUGGCUUGGAAGGCACAUUUCAGCCUGUGUUAUUGUCAUAUUUUUAAACUGCUAUCUAUUUAAAUAUAUUUUGAAAAGUUCAGUCUCUUCUCUCUGCAGUGCUGUGGAUUCCAGCCCCAUCAGUCGGUAGCUUAAAGGGAACAAGUAGACCAUUCUCUUUAUUAUCCAGGUGUAACCAUUUGUGGAUUGGAACUGUUUGGCCGCAAGAGGGCAAGCUUUGCAAAUUCACUCCUGCUGAACAGUGACUGAAGAUGUCCUGGAACUCAUAACUAAUUUACCUAGAAGUUUCCUUUAGCAAAAGACCAUGACGUCUCAGUAGUGGGGAGUUCAGUGUAUGUGGUUAUGGCAUUUCAAGUCAGUGGGAAGAUCAAGGGGGUUUCAAGAUUUAGGAUACAGUAUUUACAUGCAUGUUAGGGGUAGAAGGAUUAUAUGUUACAAAAUGCCUUAGUCACAAUUUCCAGACUCUGAUCUUUGAAAAGAGAACCGUGAGACCAGAACUAGUAUAUUUGUCAUAAUUAGACAGAGAUACUUUGAAAAGCAGGAUACUGGGUCAAUAAUUUCCCUUUCCUUUCUUCCACCAAUUAGACAUUAAAAUAUUUAUUGAGGGCUUGUUCUAGUCCAGGAAUUGUUCAAGUUGG
ensembl:lncRNA